ACAUGAUAUUGUUGUUUGUUGGAUAAACAUUAUUUCAUGGGUUGAGAAGUUUUCUGUUUUCUUGGAUUACUUUAUGACUCAAAAUUUUCAUUCUGUAGACUGACUGCAUUGCUAGAAUCUCACCUAAAGAUGGUACUUUGCUUGGAUGGGUUCUUCUUCAAAAUUUAAGGGAAAAUUUGGUACAAGCUGGGAAUAAUGGUAUUGAUGUUUUAAAUGGCAUAGCCUGGGACAGUGCUAAAAAGCGCAUCUUUGGUAAGCUCCAAUGUUUGAUAUGAUUGCUCUAAAGUCAGC